GAUUAUAGGUGUGCCUCACAAGACAUCAUUUAUUUUAUCACUUUAUUUACUUUAAGUUUUUGCAUCCUAAAGACAAGGCCAAAGACUUGCCUGAACCUUAAAGCCUACUCGGCAAACAGCAGCAAACUCAUAGAAAACUCAAGCCUCCAGUCGCCUGCUCCAUCCCACAGCCUGGGGAAACUCUAAGAGUAGACAAGAAACCCGUGGACAGGAUGCUCUUCUACAGCGCUCCAGAAGCACUUUGCCUCCAGGAUGUGGCUCUCCAGAGAUGCUGUCAAAAGAGAGAUCACAGGGCCUGCCAAGAUGGCUCACUGGGUAAAGGCAAUUGUCACCAGCCAUGAUGACUAGAGCUUGAAUCCUGGCACCCACAAAGUCAGAACAAACUCUCUCAAGUGUUCUCUGACCACCAUGGUUUACACAGAGAGAGAGAGAGACAGACAGACAGAGACAGAGACAGAGACACAGAGAGACAGAGAAACAGAAACAGAGAGAGGGAGGGAAACGGAGAGAAAAAGAGAGAGAAUUAAAUACAGUUUUUCUAAAAGAAAGAAAAGAGAGAAAGAAAGAAAGAGAGAGAGAGAGAGAGAGAGAGAGAGAAAGAAAGAAAGAAAGAAAGAAAGAAAGAAAGAAAGAAAGAAAGAAAGAAAGAAAGAAAGAGAGAAAGAAAGAAAGAAAGAGAAAGAGAGACAGACAGUUCAGGGCCAGAGACACAGCUCAUCCAUUAAGAACACUGCUCUUCCAGAGGAACUGGGUUUGAUUCCCAGCACCAAAGUGGUGGCUCACAACCAUCUGUAACUCCAGUUCCAGGGGACCUUCUUCUAGCCUCCUCAGGCACAUACGUGGUACACAGACAUGCAUGCAGGCAAAACACCCAUGCCCAUAAAAUGAUGAAAUAAAAAACAUUGUAAAAUUGUUUGUAAAAGAAUGCCAAUUCACAUAGAAAGCAAGGGCCGACAGGAAGAGAUCUGCAGUGGUCUCAAGACAUUACCCUCACGGCUUCUGCUUAGCUGCUGCAGAUCCCAGCCUGGAGAUUCAGAAGGCCCUGGUACAAGGUAUACCGGGUCAGACUUUACUCCUCUAAAAUUUAGCAGCUCCUCAAAACCUAGGGUAUCUGGACCCAGAGGUACAGCCUGGAGCUGCUCGAGGAAACUGAACCAGACGGAUCUCAAGUCCAAGUCUCAUGUGGGUUACAGAGGGAAUUCAAGGUUAGCCUGCUCAACUCACUGGAAACUUGUCUCAGAAUUAAAAAUCAAAGGACGUCUGGGGGUGUGGCCCAGUGAUAGAGCCCCUGCCUAGAAUCCCCCAGUGAGGGGGUGGAAGUGUGGCUCAGUGGUAGAGCAUCUGCCUAGAAUCCCCCAGUGAAGCUGGGCAGUGGUGGCGCAUGCCUUUAAUCCCAGCACUUGGGAGUCAGAGGCAGGAGGAUUUCUGAGUUUACAGCCAGCCCGGUCUACAGAGUGAGAUCCAGGACAGCCAGGGAUACACAGAGAAACCCUGUCUUGAAAAACAAAACAAAACAAAACACACACACACACAAAAAAAAAAAAACUUGAGGGGCUGGGGGUGUGGCUCAGUGGUAGCGCACUUCCCUAGACAUUAGCAAGGCCUUGGGCUCCAUCCCAGCGUUGAAUACAAACAUUCAACAUUAAGGAGACUAGGCUGAUAGGAAGCACAGUAACCAAAUCACACUGGAGAAAGAGGGGUGGUGUUUUGUGAACAGAUUUCUGUGGACCCAGACCUGGAAUUGACCGGAAGGCAUGGCUCUGUGCCCGGGGGGAUUGGAGACCUGAGACUGUAGGUCUAUGGGCACAACUGAAGGACCCUGGAACAGGAGAAAGGACACCAGUGCUGUUUAGCUCUGGAAUUGAAGGACUGGAUGGAGGACCUGGUUGAGGAGCCCAAGACCUACAGCAGAGGUUACCUUGGGCCUAAUCCUGAGCACUAAACAGGACUGAAGACUUCAGGAUAGCUUCCCCAUUCUUUGAAGCCCAGAGGUCAUAAAUACGACUAGCUAGCUAGCUUGCCCCUUGUACCCAGUCUGCACCUUCCAAACACCCGAAUUACAAAUGGGUUGUCAUAUCUCCCUAGAAUUUACAUGGAUGCUGCAGAACCGAACUCAAGUCAUCACACAUGGGCGGUUUCUUAGGGUUUCAUUGCUGUGAAGGGACGUGAUCAAGGUAACUCUUAUAAAGGAAAACAUUUAACCGGGCCUGGCUUACAGUUUCAGAGGUUUAGUCCGUUAUCAUCAUGAUGGGAAGCAUGGCAGUGUCCAGGCAGACAUAGUGCUUCAGGAAUUGUUCUACAUCUUGAUCCACAGGCAGACAGAAGGGGACUGUCCUCUGCAGGCAGCCAGGAGGAGGGUCUGGAUCACAGACUUGAGCAUAUAUAUGAGACCUCAAAGCCACCUCCACAGUGACACACUUCCUCUAACAAGGCCACACCUCCAUCAAUAAGGCCGUACUACCUAAUAGUACCACUUCCCAUGUGCCCAGUGUAUUCAGACCACCACAUGUGGCAAGCACUUGAUCCACCGAGCCUCUCCCCAGACCCCAUGGAGAACUUUAUGGAAUUUAAUGCACCCUGUGUCCUUGCAUCCUCACAGAAUCCAAUGAGCUGAGAUGUGGAAAGGAAGAGACAAAGAUGUUAAGAGAACUUCUAGGUGCAGCACUUGGGAGGCAGAGGCAGGUAGAUCUCUGUGAGUUCAAGGUCAGCCUGGUCUACAGAACAAAUUCCUGGACAGCCAGGGCUACUCAGAGAAACCCUGUCUCAAAAAAUAAAAAAUUUUUUAAAAAGG
rnacentral:lncRNA from 1 species